UUACGAGGUCAGGACACUGUGAGGAUUGACAGAUUGAAAGCUCUUUCUUGAUUCAGUGGGUGGUGGUGCAUGGCCGUUCUUAGUUGGUGGAGUGAUUUGUCUGGUUAAUUCCGUUAACGAACGAGACCUUAACCUGCUAAAUAGUCACGCGAACCGGUCCGCAAGGGCUCAAAGUUCGCGGCUCGACUUCUUAGAGGGACUAUUCGCACCCGCCAGCGAAUGGAAGUUUGAGGCAAUAACAGGUCUGUGAUGCCCUUAGAUGUUCUCGGCCGCACGCGCGUUACACUGACGGAGUCAACGAGCGUUUUUCCUUGCCCGACAGGGCUGGGUAUCCUCCUGAAACUCCGUCGUGAUGGGGAUAGAUCAUUGCAAUUAUUGAUCUUGAACGAGGAAUUCCUAGUAAGCGCGAGUCAUCAACUCGCGCUGAUUACGUCCCUGCCCUUUGUAUACACCGCCCGUCGCUCCUACCGAUUGAACGGUCCGGCGAGAACUCCGGAUGGUC
rnacentral:rRNA from 1 species